GUUAUUGGUUAAGCUAAAAAGAGCGCAGGGCGGAUGCCUUGGCACUGAGAGCCGAUGAAAGACGUGAUAAGCUGCGAAAAGCUGCGGGGAGUGGC
rnacentral:rRNA from 1 species